rnacentral:lncRNA from 1 species
UUGAAGUGUUGAAUUUAUUAUGCUUGAAAAUAUUAAAAAAUUAUGAACAAAAAGAUGAUCACUUAUGUAUGUUUUAGGGAAUUAACCUCAUAACACAUGCACAACCUUAAUCGGACAUAAGGUUAUAAAUAUGAGACAGUAUAAUGCUUUUGGUAGGCAGGACAUACAACUGUGAAAUUAAUUUAAGCAGAGAUUAAAUUAAUAGCAGUUUACUAGUAUAUCAUAACUUUUUAACACAC